rnacentral:rRNA from 1 species
UUCGAUUGUGCCAGCAGCCGCGGUAAUACAGAGGUCUCAAGCGUUGUUCGGAUUCAUUGGGCGUAAAGGGUGCGUAGGCGGUGCCGUAAGUCGGAUGUGAAAUCUCGGGGCUUAACCCCGAAACUGCAUUCGAUACUGCGGUGCUAGAGGACUGGAGAGGAGAUCGGAAUUCACGGUGUAGCAGUGAAAUGCGUAGAUAUCGUGAGGAAGGCCAGUGGCGAAGGCGGAUCUCUGGACAGUAACUGACGCUGAGGAACGAAAGCGUGGGUAGCGAACAGGAUUAGAUACCCUGGUAGUCCACGCCGUAAACGGUGGGCGCUAGGUGUGGGUUCCUUCCACGGAAUCCGUGCCGUAGCUAACGCAUUAAGCGCCCCGCCUGGGGAGUACGGCCGC